GUAACGAACAACGCCCAGAGCUUCCCACACGUUUGCGACAUUUGCCAUUACUGUCGCAAAACAUACCUUUUCAUACCUUUGCGGCAGCAACGUUGACUGGAUUUGCAUUUGACAAGGGUGCGUUUGCGUGUGAAAUAGCAGGCAUUCAAACUAAGUGAAGAUCUGGGAUUCCAUAUACACAACAAUACAGGUGUUGUGUCUGUCCUGUUUCAGGUAAUGCUUCUGGCUCUUGGAGAUUCUGUGAAUUUGAACUUUCAAUUGUAACACAGUUCAUUACAGAGCAAUUUGACUAUUUCAAUGAGUUUCUAAGCUUCCUAGUCUUAGAAAUCAGACCUUCAAACAUUUGACAUAAAUGUGAGAUGAUUUGACUGAGGAGGAGUCCUUUGAAUAUGACUAAACAGCUGUUCACGAUAAAGAGCUUUAAGUGGGACAUUUAACAUGGAGAUCCCAGGGGAAUGUAUCUCUGUAUCCUUUUUUUGAGACAUAGUGGCAACUCAGUACACUGUGAGAGAAAUAUAGACAGUGGUACACAGGCAAGAGUGGAAUGCCAAGAGAAAAAUAAAAUCACUGAACAGCGUGACUCCGUGGGCACUGGAUCAUCUAUGGGACACUGGACCUCAAACGGAUAUGAAAUAUCAAAAGGUAUUUGAGCAGCAGAGGGAUCCUAAAGAGCAGUGAGUCCCCAGCAUAAACAUGCUGCUGGUCCAGUGGGUUUUUUUCACCCAUGCCAAAAUAUGACAGCUUUGUUUUUCAUGUAGGAUGCUCUUUCAUGUUACAGCAUGCAAAGAAUGGAAUGUAUUUCCUUUCUAAACUAUAAGUGCUUACAAACAACAACCCUUAUUUUCACAGUGGUAUGUACUGGCUGAAAAGGUCAAGUUUAGAAAUAAUGAGCUAUGUGGGUUGUUCCUAUACCACCUACUGUCAACUGUCAUCUUUCAUCAGCUGUGAAUGAGGAAAUGUCUCCAUUAAAACAUCUCAGUGUCUCAUCUCA